AACAAACGCUGGCGGCGUGCCUAAUACAUGCAAGUCGAACGGGGAAAGUAGCAAUAUGAGUACUAGUGGCGCACGGGUGAGUAACGCGUGGGUAAUCUUCCUUGACGCGUGGGAUAACCAGUCGAAAAGAUUGGCUAAUACCACAUAAGACCACAGGAUCUGCGGAUCUAGGGGUCAAAGGUUUUUCGCUUUAAGAUGAGCCCGCGUAGGAUUAGCUAGUUGGUAGGGUAACGGCCUACCAAGGCAACGAUCUUUAACUGGUCUUAGAGGAUGAUCAGUCACACUGGAACUGAGACACGGUCCAGACUCCUACGGAGGCAGCAGUAGGGAAUAUUGCACAAUGGAGGAAACUCUGAUGCAGCGACGCCGCGUGAGUGAUGAACGGACUUCGGUUCGU
rnacentral:rRNA from 1 species